UACGGGGGGAGCAAGCGUUGUUCGGAUUUACUGGGCGUAAAGGGCGCGUAGGCGGUCGUGACAAGUCACUUGUGAAAUCUCCGGGCUUAACUCGGAACGGUCAAGUGAUACUGUCGGACUAGAGUACAGAAGGGGCAACUGGAAUUCUCGGUGUAGCGGUGAAAUGCGUAGAUAUCGAGAGGAACACCUGCGGCGAAGGCGGGUUGCUGGGCUGAUACUGACGCUGAGACGCGAAAGCGUGGGUAGCGAACAGG
rnacentral:rRNA from 1 species